rnacentral:rRNA from 1 species
CAGUAGCCGCGGAACACGGAGGGGGCUAGCGUUGUUCGGAAUUACUGGGCGUAAAGCGCACGUAGGCGGCUUGGUAAGUUAGAGGUGAAAGCCUGGAGCUCAACUCCAGAAUUGCCUUUAAGACUGCCGAGCUAGCAGGUGAGAGAGGUAAGUGGAAUUCCGAGUGUAGAGGUGAAAUUCGUAGAUAUUCGGAAGAACACCAGUGGCGAAGGCGGCUUACUGGCUCAUACUGGACGCUGAGGUGCGAAAGCGUGGGGAGCAAACAGGAUUAGAUACCCCUGUAGUCCCUGUCUCUUAUACA